UCUUUCGCUCGGCAUAAUAAAGGACAAACCGCCUGCGUAUCAACACAGGCUACAGGGUGAAACUUUUCCACGAGCAUCCUCCAGUUUGCUUGUUGUCCAGAAAAGCUGAAAAGACUCGUGCAGCCCAGCCAGGUGAUGCCAAACUGUCGUGGAAAUUAGACAACACUCACAGACUCGUCCUCUGAAGGAGACAAUCCCCGCCCCGCCCCGCCCCCGUCGACUUGAAACACACACCGGAUUGAAUGGGAGCGGCUUGAAGCGCGCGCGGGCUGCUGGGUCUCCAAAGCAACGUCGAGAAACGACAGUAAACUGUGCUACACCGACGCAUCGGCUCUGUAUUCUGUCUUCAUCAUGUCGUCCGGAAAGAUGGGGUUGUAUCGCUCGCAACCGCGAGACUUCAGCAACCUCUUUCAGACAUGUAGCUCUAAUAUCCAAAAAAUAACACACAACACCGGCCAAAUCAAAUCCAUGCUGUUCCAGCUUGGUAGCAGACCAGACACUCCUGAACUUCAGGACAGACUUCAGCAGAUGCAGCAUUACACAAAUCAGCUCGCCAAAGAGACCAACAAGCACCUGAAAAAACUGGGUUCUUUACCUCUACCUCAGGCCCCUUCAGAACAGCGGCAGCAGAGGAUCCAGAAGGACCGGCUGAUGAACGACUUCUCAGCAGCCCUUAACAACUUCCAGGUGGUUCAACGUCGAGCAGCUGAGAGGGAGAGAGAGUCCAUGGCCAGGGCUCGAGCUGGCUCACGCUUCCUGGUUGAAGAAAGCAACCAAGAUGAGCAACUUGUGACUUUUGAAAAGAAUGAAGACUUGGGGCCGUUCCAGAGUCAGGUUGAAGAGGAGCCCAUUACAGAAGAGGACUUGGAGCUGAUCAAGGAGAGGGAAACCAACAUCCGGCAACUGGAGGCAGAUAUAAUGGACGUGAACCAGAUUUUCAAAGAUUUGGCAGUUAUGAUUCAUGACCAGGGCGAUAUAAUAGAUAGCAUAGAGUCUAAUGUGGAGAGUUCUGAGGUGCAUGUGGAGCGCGGGACUGAACAACUGCAGCGUGCUGCCUACUAUCAGAGAAAAUCACGCAAGAGGAUGUGUAUUCUGGCUUUAGUGCUUUCCUUAGUGGUGACUAUCUUCGCCAUUAUUAUUUGGCGAGCUAUUAAAUAAGGUGACAUCACACAUUUGAAUUUGAUGCACUUUAAGAUAUCCAGUGGUGACUGGCUGGUGAGUGUUUUGUUUGUGUAUGGAAAUUAACUACAAAUAAUUGCUUUUAUUAUUUAGAACAUCCAUAUUUACAGUAAAUAUUGACAGCAUCUUGCAUGUCCAGUAUUGCUUAUUACAUCUUUUAUAGGGCAAGUUGAGUCUUGUGCAUUUUCCAACUAUUAUGCAAAAUAGUAUGAGGGGUGACAGUUUAUUGAUAAUGAAUUUGGUGAACAAACAUGUGGUUGAUUACAAUGCAAGUGAAUGAAACAGUGAUAGAAAUACAAUUUGAUUAAAACUUCAGGUUUUAUAAAACAUGAGCUACAUUUUGCUAUUAUUUUAUUAUUUGGCAAGGGUAUGUUUUGUUACUUUAUUGGAAGUAACAAAAAUGUUUAAAUGAUAGAAUGAUGCAGAGAUUUUUUUAAGGUAAAUGAUUACUGCUCAGUUCAUGCUUUUGAUUUCCCAUUAUAAUUGUUUGUUGUUUAUCAAAAUUAUGAUAAUAUUCAAUAGUGAACAACAGGUAAAUGGUAAAUAUGGCUAAUGUUUUUAGAAAAUGUUCACUGCUCUGAUCUAAUCACUGUUUUUCACUUUAUUUUCAAUUGAAUAAUGUUUAUUUUUGUACACACACAGACACACAUACAUACAUACAUACAUACAUACAUACAUACAUACAUCUAAGAACUGUCAUCCCUACAUAAUUUAGCCAGUGUAGAUGUACAAACUACCAAAUUAAAGCUGACAGUCUGCUCUUUAAUGUCAUUUAUGGUUUCAUUUCUAAUCUGUUGUGCAGGGGUACAGAAAUAACAACAAAUCUGUGUCAUUGUCCUGAUGUUGAUAUUGCUCUAAUGAAGGUGUGGCACAUAUUGUACAGGGUCGUGGUGGAACCAGAGUCUAUCCCAGGAACUCUAGGAGUGAGGUGGGAAUAAACCCUCAAUGGAAUGCCAGUCCAUCUUCUGGCACCGUGCACACACAUUCACAUAAUUCACCUAUUGGCAUGAUUUUGGAAGAAGGGAGAAAACUGGAUAACCUGGAGGAAACCCACACUGACAUGGAGAAACCAUGCGGAACGCCACAGAGACAGUCCCCUGGCUCCCGGAUCAAACUUGGGACCCUGGAGCUGCGAGGCAACAAUGCUGUGUCACCUUACUGCCCUUCAUUAUAAGGUGAGUGAUAGAGUACAAGAGCAAGUAAGGGAGGCGAUGGCCUGUCUAUUGUGCUCUUGCAAAUAAAGUGAGAUAUUUUAUAUACAUAUAAGUGCAUGUUGUCUCUGCAGGGGGAAGAGACCCUUUUUAUUUUAACCACUAGGUGGCAUGGAAUAUACAGAAAUAAGAUCUUCAUAGAACUAUAUUUACAAAUAUGCUUAUGUAAAUGUACAUAACAAGCAUAGCCAUUAAAUAAUUGUAGCCAUUCUGAGCUUUGCCAAAAUAAAUUGUGUUGUUUGUUGGGGACAUUAGGACGAGGACCUGGCUGAUACAUUUUGCUGAUUGCUAGAGAAAAUACUGCUAUUUUUGUCAGCAGAUUGUUUUUAAUUAUUUGAAUGCUUAUUGAUUUGAAGGCUGAUUACACUUCAUAUGUUGUUGCAGUUGUAUUAAAUAAACUCUGCAAAAAAAAAAGAAAAAAGAAAUGUACUCUCACAUUCGACUGCUUUUAUUUCCAGCAAAUUUCUUAACGUGUAAAUAUUUCUACUAACAAAAACAGAAAUGGAAUAAUGAGUCCCUGAACAGUGGGGUAGCACUCUCUUAGGCAUCUUACAUUGCGGACAUUGCAGUUUAUUGCCCUGGCCACAUCUGCAGUCCUCAUACUUCCCUGCAGCAGGCCUAUGGCAUGUUCACCCUAGGCAUCUUUCUUCUGGUGUUUUUCAGAGUCAGUAGAAAGUCCUCUUUAGUGUCCUAAGUUGUAAGCUGUGACCUUAAUUGCCAAACGCCUGUAAACUGUUCAUGUCUUAAGGACUUUUCCACAGGUGCAUGUGUAAUAAUUGUUUAUGGUUCAUUGAACAAGAAUGAAAAACCUUGUUUAAACCCUUUCCAAUAAAGAUCUGUAAAGCUUAUUUGGAUUUUACUAAAUUAUCUCCUGAAAAAGGAUGUUUCUUUUUUGCUGAGUUUAUAUAUAGUAAAUAUGUUUUGAAUAGGUGGAUUAGAUAUCUUAGUGUAUGCAUUCUAAUAGACUACUUUAUAAAGUAGUCCUGGUAAAAUGACACUAAUUAUUGUUAUGAGUAAGAUCAGCAGGCAGUGCUGUAUCUUUCAAGCAACAAACUUAAUUAACGUUUUGUCUUUGGAAUAUAUCUUCUAUUUCUUGAAGAGAAGGUUAUCUAAGCAAUUUUACCUUUGCAUAGACAAUGAGCCUCUUGGAAUUCUGAGUCUUUGAUAGCCAGAGCUUGUGAGUUUGGAGUGAUCCUUGAGGUGCUGUACAGUGCUCCUUGUUCACUUUUCAUGUGUGAUAUUAAUCAGCAGUGACCACCCCCGCUGCCCUUCACAGCUCAAAGCAUGAAGAGUCUAAUUGCUUAGCCAUGCACAUCUCCCAUUUCAUUCGGUGUGAUUAAGAGUGAAUUUAAUGAUGAUUGAAGUGGAUACCCUGCUUUAUUAAUGUUAAACCAACUAACCAACAUAAACCAAAGGCUCACCCUUUUUGUAGGAGUGUAUGCGGAGUGUGAUUUUGAUGAACAUUACAUUACUCAUCACAAUUAUGUAAAUGAAAUGAAAUCUCCCUCUUAGAAAUGUCACUGUUUUUACAAUACAUACAAUAAGGAUUGAUCUUUUUUCUCAUACUGAAAUCACACUUACUGCAAAAAUCCAUUAUUACCAAACUUCACUAUUUAAAGCAGCAAUGUGUAGAUUUUAUAAGGAAAUGCUAAACAUGUGCAAACUGUCUGAAUGUCUAGUCACGAGUGUAAGUGGCAGUAAGUAAAGUAAGUAAAGUCCUGUCCUUUAGUCCUUUAGUAAGUAAAGUCCUGUCUAUCCUAUGUAUGGCUACUUAUAAAGAUGUUGCUUCUUGAAUGAAAUACUUCAACAGUGAUCUCUGUUCUUUCAUGAUAUGCUUUUAUUACUGUUUAUUUUGAAAAUAAAGAGGUUUACUGUUUUUACAACAUUCCUAAGCUUGUUCAGGCUGACUAGCAGAAAAUAUAUAUAUUUUAAAAAAUAUAUAAUCGAUCAGAGUGUCAAGUAGGCUAAGAACACUGUGGGAAGUGCUAAUGAAUUCAUAACCCAUCGUGUUCAUAGAUUGACUGAAGGGUAGAAGCCAGAAACAAUUUCACCAUGCCAACUCAACCCAAGUCUGAGUGGAAGUGAAUCUUUGAAAUCCAUUUUCUCAGCAUGAAUAUUUAGCAGUAUCCAUUUUGAGGGAUUUAACUCUAUAAUUUACCCUGAUUGCCAUUUCUAAUAGACUAUUCAUUAUGUCUGUCCAAAAAAAAAGCUGUUACAAGUAGUUUCUCAUGUUACAAGUAAAUGUUUUACAAAGCUGACUAGAAAUUCAUUAGAUCAAGGGUGAGUCCGUCAUCCGAGGUCCCCUAUGAAUUCCCUCACAAUCAUGGGUUUAAAUGUCUCCUGAGCUAAAAGAGAAAAAUAAGACUGAUAAAAUGUAUCUUUUUUUCUGCUUAAAUUGAAACCCGUAUAUUUCUUACUUAUUUUCUAUUUUGUCAGAGAGAGCUUUUCCUCUCUAGCCUG